GAUUAAGAUCACAUAAGAGUAAAAUAAACAAUAUACAAGCGAGAGUUGAAGCUUUUUAAUUGAUCCUACCAGCAAAAGUAGCCCACGCAGUGGGCAAAAAGAAGGGAGAAGGUGAUAAUGGAAUGGAUAGCACAUAUCUAAAGAACAAUUAAUAUAACAUCUCCAAAAUGAGAGUUCAGGGACUGACCUCUCUCUCUCUAUCUCUCUCAAAGCUUUCCUUCUUCUUCAAAACAAGAGAAAAACACAUUAAAUGCUUGAUUUAAAUUUCUUCUCUUCUGAGCUUGUUUAGAAGUGCUGUGAUUAAUGCGUCCCUCUUCUCUGCCCUAGCUUCUUCUCUCAUUCUUCUUUGUUCUUCUCGCUCUCUCCACGUCCUGUCCAUCAUUAUCCUCUCAUUCUCUAAUGCUUCCAUCGUCUGUCUCCACUCCAUCUCCUUCAUCCUUCUCUCAUUCUCCCGAGCUUCAAACGCUUCUCUCCAUUGCAUUUCCAUUUGCAUCUGUUGCUUCAUGAAAUCCUCCAAAACCUCCCUUAUGUUAUUACUAUGUCCACUGCCGCUACCGCCGCCGCUGUUUUUCUUAGUGCUUUUCCCCUUUUUCUUCUUUCUUAUGCUUCCCUUCUCUCCCUCACUUUCUUCGUUAUCUUCUUCCUCAUCGGAAGAUAGAUGCACCGCUUUCUUUUUAGACCCGCCUGCUGCUCCUUCUGCUUCAGCCCAUAACAUUCUGUGCAUCCUUGCUGCGAAAAUCUCUUGCAACUCAUUAUAAAAUGGGAAUUGUUGUCGCAAAGAUUCAGAUUCCAUCGUCUCACAUCCCUUGUAUCGGGUAACGAGGUUUUUCCACUUGCAC
rnacentral:misc_RNA from 1 species